GCUGGGUGCAGUGGUGCACACCUGUAAUCCCAGCUGCUUGGGAGCCUAAGGCAGGAGGAUCAUGAGUUCAAAACCAGCCUCAGCAACUUAGUGAGGCCCUAAGCAACUUAGCGAAACCCUGCCUCAA
rnacentral:sRNA from 1 species